rnacentral:rRNA from 1 species
GGCCUACGGGAGGCAGCAGUGAGGAAUAUUGGUCAAUGGGCGGGAGCCUGAACCAGCCAAGUCGCGUGAGGGAAGACGGUCCUAUGGAUUGUAAACUUCUUUAGUCAGGGAACAAAGGGUGCCACGCGUGGCGCUGUGAGUGUACCUGAAGAAUAAGCAUCGGCUAACUCCGUGCCAGCAGCCGCGGUAAUACGGAGGAUGCGAGCGUUAUCCGGAUUUAUUGGGUUUAAAGGGUGCGUAGGCGGUUUGUCAAGUCAGCGGUAAAAAUUCCGGGCUCAACCCGGUCCCGCCGUUGAAACUGGCGG